rnacentral:rRNA from 1 species
GACGAACGCUGGCGGCGUGCUUAACACAUGCAAGUCGAACGGAAAGGCCCUGCUUUUGUGGGGUGCUCGAGUGGCGAACGGGUGAGUAACACGUGAGUAACCUGCCCUUGACUUUGGGAUAACUUCAGGAAACUGGGGCUAAUACCGGAUAGGAGCUCCUGCUGCAUGGUGGGGGUUGGAAAGUUUCGGCGGUUGGGGAUGGACUCGCGGCUUAUCAGCUUGUUGGUGGGGUAGUGGCUUACCAAGGCUUUGACGGGUAGCCGGCCUGAGAGGGUGACCGGCCACAUUGGGACUGAGAUACGGACCAGACUCCUACGGGAGGCAGCAGUGGAGAAUAUUGCACAAUGGGCGGAAGCCUGAUGCAGCAACGCCGCGUGCGGGAUGACGGCCUUCGGGUUGUAAACCGCUUUCGCCGGUGACGAAGCGUGAGUGACGGUAAUGGGUAAAGAAGCACCGGCUAACUACGUG